rnacentral:rRNA from 1 species
AUGGCCUCCUCUUACCUUGCGAUCCUAGUGCUGCUCUUGCUGCGCUUCUCCGGCGGCGCCGUCGCCGUCUCCUCCAGCUACAUCGCAAGGACCACCGAGCAGCAGAUCAUCGCCACCGUCGCGCCGGCCGCCUUCGCCGACGCCGAUGACGGCGGCCAGAGCGCAGCGCAGCCUUUCCUCGCGUCCCCCUCCGGGUCGUUCGCCGCGUACCUCCGCCGCGCCGCCGUGGGCGAUGGCGGUAGCGGGGACGUGUGCUACGUCGAGGUCGUCCAGCAGCAGGGGGGCGGCGGCGGGACCAGCAGCGUGUGGGAGUCGGACUGCACGCCGGUGGGCGGCGCCGAAACCUGCGACCUGGCCUUCUCGCCCGUGGGGCUCGAGCUGUUCGCCGGCGGGCACUCGCUGUGGGACACCGCUGUCGACUCCGACCCCGCGAUGCUCAGCCUCGACGGCGCCGGCGACAUGAGGAUCGUCAGCAGGGACGGCGUCACGGUGUGGAGGACGAGGGACGAGCCGUGGACAGGGCGGAGGUGCGGCGCCGCGGCCUUGCCGGUGUCGUCGCCUUCGAUGGAGGACGCGCUCCCCCCGCCGUCGGCCACCGGCGAGAAGCCCUUGACGCCUCCGGCGGCGGCGUCGACUCUCGCCAGUCCGUGGGGCUCGGGCUUCACUUUCGGAGACCAAACGGCGCCUCCAGCUGACACGUCGCCUGACCAGAUGCUGCCGCCGCCACCGCCAGCUGACGACGACGACGACGAUUCGGCCGACUUGCCUGACCUGCCGCUACCACCGCCGCCUCCUCCGUUUGACCCGUCAACGGACUGGCCGGACCUGCAGCUGCCUCCCCCGCCGGCGGACAUGCACCCGAUCCCCGAGACGCCGGACCAGCCUCUGUACUCGUCGCCACCGCCGGCCGACAUGCACCCGAACCCCGAGACGCCGGACCAGCCUCUGUACUCGUCGCUACCGCCGGCGGACAUGCACCCUAUCCCCGAGUCGCCGGACCAGCCUCCGCACUCGUCACCACCUCCAGCUCCUCCGACCCCCUUUGUCCCGCCUCAGACGCCAUCGCCACCCGUCGACACGCCCCCACUCGUGCCAUCUCCCGGCGCGGGCAUCGCCACGCCACCAGCUUCAUCGAGCGACGACAACAUGUCAUUCUCGCCACCACCUCACGGCACGCCGCACCCGCACCACCUUCCCCUGGGAGCGUCGCCGCCGACGGUGCCGGGCGCGGUGGCGCCAAUCAGCGGCGGCCAUGGCCCGCUCCCGUUCGGACAGGGGCAGGGGCAGGGGCAGCAUGGGCAAGGGCAGGGGGUGUUCGGGCAGCAGCAGAACCAGCUGCUGAACGGCGGGGGGCAGCCGCUGGAGCACAGCGCCGGCGGGUGGUCAGUUAGGGGGCGCGGCGGAGCGGCCGUGAGCUUGGCUUUGGUCGCUCUGGUGGCUCUGGUUUUCGAGUAG